CUGUAUUGAUGGCAUUGACUUGCCUACUGAGGAUGUUGGCCACGCCUUGCAAUUUCUAGAAUUUUGUGAAGCUUUUGGAGAGGUUCUCAAUAUGAAGAAAGGGCAAUCUCAGUUGAUACUUAGAGAGUUACUUACUGGAAAAAGCAAACGCAAACACAAACUACGUUAUCCUUCGAUUGUGCAGUUUCAUAUUCGACUGCUUUCCAUGAUGCAAAAGGAUUUGGGAAAAGAGUAUCCUUGCCUUAGUCGGGAUUUAAGUGAAACUUCAUGGGCUCAAGUUCUUGGA